rnacentral:rRNA from 1 species
UACGAAGGGGGCUAGCGUUGUUCGGAAUUACUGGGCGUAAAGCGCGUGUAGGCGGGUCUUUAAGUCAGGGGUGAAAUGCCAAGGCUCAACCUUGGAACUGCCUUUGAUACUGGAGACCUUGAGUCCGGGAGAGGUGAGUGGAAUUGCGAGUGUAGAGGUGAAAUUCGUAGAUAUUCGCAAGAACACCAGUGGCGAAGGCGGCUCACUGGCCCGGAAC